AGGCAUAUGUGCAGGAGAUAAAGCAGAACACUCUCCCAGAACAUGUGCUUGUCAUGAUAAAAAAUAAUGAGGAGGAAUUGCACCCGAAGGUCAAAGAAUCUUUUUCAAAAGAAAUGAAGGGCAACCAAAUCGAAAAUACCAAAGAAGCAGAUGGCAAUAAAAAAGCAGAAGGCAGGUGUAAAAAGAAAGACCUUGGAUACCUCUUCAUCGGAUGAUGAGUACCCAUGCCUGGUUUGUACGGAGCCAUUUGAGAACAGCCGUCCAGGAGAGGCUUGGGUCCAGUGUCUGAAAUGCAAACAGUGGGCUCAUGAAGAGUGCACCCCUGGCAAAGCAGUUUGUGUGUGCCAGAACUGUGAUUCCGAUGACGAGUCUGACUAGUGAAGUUUGAGACCUGACACAAAAUUAGUUUGAAUACUUGACAUGUUUUAUUUGACAGUUUGUUUGAAAUUAUUUUACAAUGGGAAUAAUUUAAUGGCCACAUUCCAGGAUUUAUUCAAGUUCAAUGAUUAAUCAACUUUUUCUGUGGCUGAAUUUAAUUUUUUAUUUGAAUAAAACAAAUAAAUAACACAAAACUAAAUUGAUUCAUGUUUUAUUUGCGGCAACAUCCAGUGUCUUGCCCCAAAUAGUGUGACAACUUACCCGCUCAUGGGGCAACAUGUCACGUGUUUACACUCACUAUUUAAAUGCCUAUAAGUAUGUACUGAAACAAGAUAUGAAAAUGAAAUGAAUACAAAAUAUAUGCCUGGGACUUUGCUCUUUCAUUUGGUAAGCCCAUAAAUCGCAAGAUAUAUAAAAGAGUGUAAAAAGUGUGACAACAUGCCCCGGUCUCCCCAACUGAAACACUGUAUGAAGAUGAUUGGCUUUCACCGUAAUGUAUUCAUGUGAUAACUUAGGAUGUGUAAUGGUAUAAGAACAGACACCCUACCCUGUCUGCUAAAAUCUAGAGUGUAUUCUCACAUUGGUGUGACGCAUUCUCCGUGCUUUGUUUUGCUGCAGUAUUAAUAAAGUUUGUAUUAUUGUAGCUCUCCUUGCUGUAAAGAACUGGGUUCUUCUAAAGGGGAAGUCAGCAGGAUCUCUAACUCGUUUCUGUCACAAAAGGGGCUGAGUCCCCCCAGUCCGGGACUGGAAAGGGAUAAUCCCUAAAAUAAAGACCGCCUUCGGGAGGAGAAAGCGAUACGAGAUCCGAAUAGUGAGGAAGGAGAAAGACUGAGCGGCAACCCCAAAGCAACGAGACCGAGACUUGGGCACACUACACCGGGUGUAGGGCGUGCCUAUGCGUUGAUGAACGCAACGGUCCGGGGCCGGAGAUCUCUUAAGGCCUUAAGACUCAUUUCAGGUUGGUACCUCUCUGUAAUUGUUAAAAUGGGGAAUAGUUGCGGGAAGGAGCUAAAUGUGGGCUGUGCUAAAUUUACAGGACCCCUAAGAAUAAUGUGGAACCAACACGGACCACCAGCUGUGGAAGGUUUAAAAAUUUGGCAGGAACAUGGGUUUGCUUUAAAUGGCACAUUUUCAACACAGAGGUUAGAGGAUGUUAGAAAGAAUAUGGAAAGUUGUUCUAAGAAAAGACAUUUUUGUAAAAAAAAAAAAAAAAAAAAAAAAAAAAAAAAAAGGAGUUAAGGGAACUUGAGUUAUGGGACAAGAGGUGCGUGAAAGGCAGGCGAGACAACAAAGGAAUAAUGACAAAAAAAGGGGAAACUCAGCCUCCGUCAUAUUUUUCAGUUGGGGCGAGUGGGAAAAGCACACCCUGUUUAUAUCCCUCACUAACCAUGUUAAAACAUUCCGAGGUUGACCCGGACCUGGACUGCCCGGUGCCCCGUCCACCUCCUCACGCACCUUCACCGCACCAGCCAGCCCCCGGUCCCCAACACCCCGACGAGACCGCCUGCUCCAGCCCUGACUCUGCCAUCGCCACCACGCCUACAGACUCCUGGAAGAGGGAUCCCUCAGCCACCAACAUUGACACCCUCCACCAGCCCCAGGAUCACCCUGUGGGAUCAACCAGGCACCGAACCCUCCACGGACCACACCAGGUCGGGAUUACCGUAUCAGCCACGGAAAAACUACCUGUGCGCAAUACCAAACUGUCAGUUCCCUGCCACAGGAACUGCAGCAGACGGAGCCCCUGUCUGUGCCUCACACACCGCAGAGGCAUGGGAACGCCAGUAUGGAUUAAAAGACAUUCCAGAAGGAGAAUGGAACAAAGAACCAUAUCAGGGUGAUCCCGAAGGGUGGUACGGACCUAAACCUGAUGGUCCUCCCCGCCCCCAGUUGACAAUGGGACAGUUUCCGAUGGUAGAAUGUCCGGACCCCCAUCAACCGGGGCAGGUACAAUUGGUGUAACAGCUCUAUACUAGGGACAAACUAUGGGCAAUCUGCACGGAACUGCCGAACCCAAGUCAUACCGGGGGAGAAACUUUCUAUCACUAAUUGAUGGAAAUAAUAGUGUGCUAAACCUAGCAGUAAUGAUCUGGAAGGCAUCAUGUGCAUGCACUUGGGCACCAGGUGGGGAAAGGUGAGAGACAGAGCUGGAGUACCGGGCGCUGGAGGGCAAGUGGCUGCCUUCGACCCUACCGUCAUCUAUAACCCAGCAGCAGGAUCCCCAUAUGGCUUACAGACUGCGGCUUUGAGGGCAGCUCUCGCACAUGUUUUUCCCACUCACCUGGAUACAGGUAAACUAGCCAGAACCGUGCAAACACCCGAAGAAACAGUGGAAGAAUAUGAAGACAGGCUGCAGUGUUAUGGAACUGCAUGGAGGACUGCUGAAGCCCCAACCAUUCCCGGGAGUGCAAAACACACCAUACGAGUCGUAUCUCAGUCAGCACUUCAUGAACGGGCUGAGACCCAGCCUACAGGCAGCGAUACAACAGACUCUUGUGUGAUGGCAGCAUGCCCGCCUGGAUGACCUACGACGCCAUGCACAUCAUGCGGAAAAUAAUGAAAGAGAAAAGAAAGAAAAAGACAGAAAACAAAAUCAGACGCAAAUGGUAUAAGUGACUGACCUCCAACUCAAAUAGCUGAAGAGUCAGCAGCCAGCUAGAGGAAGAGGCCGAGGACGUGGAAGGGGGAGAGGAAGAGGGGCUGGAAGAAGCGGUGACAGAAACGGCCCUUGUUAUGUCUGCGGAGAAGAAGGACAUUGGGCACGAGACUGUCCCAGGAAAUACAAAGGGCAGGGCGGAGGAGACCAAAGACUGGACGAAAGAGGCGAGCAAGAAUGGCAACACGCUCCACAGGGCCAGGGCACAGGGAGGAAUCAUCCUGAUCAGUUUGACGAACAAGAUUGAAGGUGCGAGGGGAAAGGUGGAUGGAGCAUGCGGCAGACGGGGGGAUCACAGAGCCACCGGCAGGGCAGCCGCGGGUCUAAAGAACGAAGCAAUACAGAGGAGAAGGAGAUAUUGUGAAGCGCCAGGGGAUGAGAUGUCGUCAGACAAACUGCAUGUAACAAUAAAGAGCAGGUGAAAGCAGCACAACCAACCGUACGAGAUGAACCUGGACACCAGCUGAGACCAGGAGACUGAGUGAACCUGGACACCAGCUGAGACCAGGAGACUGGGUGAACCUGGACACCAGCUGAGACCAGGAGACUGGGUGAACCAGGACACCAGCUGAGACCAGGAGACUGAGUGAACCUGGACACCAGCUGAGACCAGGAGACUGGGUGAACCAGGACACCAGCUGAGACCAGGAGACUGAGUGAACCUGGACACCAGCUGAAACCAGGAGACUGGGUGAACCUGGACACCAGCUAAAACCAGGAGACUGGGUGAACCUGGACACCAGCUGAGACCAGGAGACUGGGUGAACCUGGACACCAGCUGAGACCAGGAGACUGGGUGAACCAGGACACCAGCUGAGACCAGGAGACUGAGUGAACCUGGACACCAGCUGAAACCAGGAGACUGGGUGAACCUGGACACCAGCUAAAACCAGGAGACUGGGUGAACCUGGACACCAGCUGAGACCAGGAGACUGGGUGAACCUGGACACCAGCUGAGACCAGGAGACUGGGUGAACCUGGACACCAGCUGAGACCAGGAGACUGGGUGAACCUGGACACCAGCUGAGACCAGGAGACUGGGUGAACCUGGACACCAGCUGGGACCAGGAGACUGGGUGAACCUGGACACCAGCUGAGACCAGGAGACUGAGUGAACCUGGACACCAGCUGAGACCAGGAGACUGAGUGAACCUGGACACCAGCUGAGACCAGGAGACUGGGUGAACCUGGACACCAGCUGAGACCAGGAGACUGGGUGAACCUGGACACCAGCUGAGACCAGGAGACUGGGUGAACCUGGACACCAGCCUAGACCAGGAGACUGGGUGAACCUGGACACCAGCUGAGACCAGGAGACUGGGUGAACCUGGACACCAGCUGGGACCAGGAGACUGGGUGAACCUGGACACCAGCUGAGACCAGGAGACUGAGUGAACCUGGACACCAGCUGAGACCAGGAGACUGAGUGAACCUGGACACCAGCUGAGACCAGGAGACUGGGUGAACCUGGACACCAGCUGAGACCAGGAGACUGGGUGAACCUGGACACCAGCUGAAACCAGGAGACUGGGUGAACCUGGACACCAGCUGAGACCAGGAGACUGGGUGAACCUGGACUCCAGCUGAGACCAGGAGACUGGGUGGUGGUGAAGGACUUCCAGAAGAAGAGGUGGUGCGAACCAAGGUGGCGUGGGCCAUUCCAGAUCCUGCUCACGACUCCAUCCACAGUCCGGGUGACUGAACAAACAUCUUGGAUUCACGCCAGUCACUGCAAAUUGUAUUUUUCUGUGAACAUGUUAUCAUUUAUAUGAUAAAAGAAGGGAUUGUGGGAGAAAAAUAUAAUGUAACCUAGGAUAUAUGUAUCCCGAUAUGUACAAUGCAUAUAGUUAGAAAACUGCUUAAAAGAAUAAAAUGUGCUUGUGACAGAUAACCAGCAAAAAUGUAAGGGAGGGGUGAGUGCUCUGCCACACCUUACGUCAUAUAGGCAUACGUGCAGGAGAUAAAGCGGAACACUCUCCCAUGGUUGGGUGCGCUCAUGUGCUUGUUAUGAUAAAAAUAAUGAGCCUAACCUGCCUAAGGAGGAAAGACGGAUGAUAAAUCUCUCCUUGCUGUGAAAGAACAGGAAAGGUUGCUUGAAAGACGUCUCUCCAAGGAAUUUCCCCAACAACAUCUGUGGCAUCUCGCAGAUCUCAGCUCGCAGGUCACACAUUUUGUGAAACGAGCCCCAGCUCUUUUCAAAGAGAGCUGGCAGACAGGUCGGGAUCUGGCAGCCCUCCUUUAGCUCCAUCAGGCCCGCCAUUUUUGGAAAGGUUACUAUGACAGGCCCAUACGUGCCGUUACACUGCAGGUGAACAGGCCAACAUGUUCAGUUUCCCAAAAGUAGUCGAUGCCACUGACUGCACUCACCAGUGUAGGGAACAGGAUUAACCCAGCACUCACUCUGGCACACAGCAGUGUAGGGAACAGGAUUAACCCAACAUUCACUCUGGCACACAGCAGUGUAGGGAACAGGAUUAACCCAGCACUCACUCUGAUACACAACAAUGAAGGGAACUUGAUUAACCCCGCACUCACUCACUCUGACAUACAGCAGUGUAGGGAACAUGAAUAACCCAGCAGUCACUCACUCUGACACAUGAAAUUGGUAAACGCAAAUUCAUGGAACCUUAUUGUAUUGCUUGAGGUACAGCAGGUCAGUGUGUGGAAGUGCACACAACCUCAGACUGGGGCAAUGGUUCACCUUUCAGCACGACAAUGACCUGGAACAUACAGCCAAGACAAUGCUGGAGUGGCUUUGGGACAAGUCUCUGACUCUGUGUUUCUGAUACACACUGUAACCUCUACAUGAAUGUUUAUCAGGUUCAUACUCCUCAUUUUACUGUACUAUUUUAUCCAGGGUCUAAACUGCGUGCUGAUACAUUCAGCGAGCAAUUUAUUAGGUAGACCUGUACACCAACUUGUUAAUGCCAAUAUUUAAUCAGCCAAUCAUGUGGCGGCAACUAAAUACAUACAA